rnacentral:rRNA from 1 species
GACGAAGGUGGCGAGCGUUACUCGGAAUUACUAGGCGUAAAGCGUGGGCAGGCGGUUCGGUAAGUCUGUUGUGAAAGCUCCCGGCUCAACUGGGAGAGGCCAAUGGAUACUGCCGGGCUUGAAUGUGGGAGGGGUCACUGGAAUUCCCGGUGUAGCGGUGAAAUGCGUAGAGAUCGGGAGGAACAUCUAUGGCGAAAGCAGGUGACUGGACCACUAUUGACGCUCAUCCACGAAAGCUGGGGGAU